GAUGAAGAACGUAGCGAAAUGCGAUAAGUAAUGUGAAUUGCAGAAUUCAGUGAAUCAUCGAAUCUUUGAACGCACAUUGCGCCCCUUGGUAUUCCGAGGGGCAUGCCUGUUCGAGCGUCAUUAUAACCCCUCAAGCUCAGCUUGGUGUUGGGGCCUGCUGCACUGGCAGCCCUUAAAAUCAGUGGCGGCGCCAUCUGGCUCUAAGCGUAGUAUUCUUCUCGCUAUGGAGUCCUGGUGGAUGCUUGCCAUCAACCCCCAAUUUUUCUAUGGUUGACCUCGGAUCAGGUAGGGAUACCCGCUGAACUUAAGCAUAUCAAUAAGCGGAGGA
rnacentral:misc_RNA from 1 species